UGCCUCUGUGUGUGCCCCUGGCAAACAAAUCUUCCUCACCGAACGCAGGGAGCGGUAGACUUGUGCCAGACAGAGCCCAAACUCCCAUCGAUGUCUGUAGGUCCCACUGAUGUCCUUGGGAAGUUGGAACUGACACCCCCUGGGACCUUGCAGAGCUGAUCACUGCUGGCACCAAGUUCCUGCAUCCAGCGGGUCUCUGUGCCGUGAUUGCUGGGGGAGCUGGCACAGAGGAAAGGUUUGCAUUCCUUCUCCUUGCUCUUGCCACAAUUAAAUAACUGAAACCCAUGGUGGGGAAGGUAUCUGUCUCCGAUGCUCUGCCUCCUGCCACCUGAUCUUCCAGCCUUUCAGUCCCUCACUCUGCUUUCCAACCUGCAGCAGGCGAGAGCCAGAAAGCCCCAGCCGGAAAGGGAUCAGCCUGGCUGAGACAGAGUUCAUCCAUUCCAGAAGCGCUGCCCCAGGCUGUGGGCAGGUGAAGCUGCCUUCCUCCUGCCAGUCUCCUCCACAGGGCCAGGGCACAGGAGCCUGUCCCAGGGCUGAGGGAGCCUGUCCCAGGCAAGGCUUUACCUUUCCUUGGCUACGCCUACAGUACCACUGGAUGUCACUGUUGUUUCAUGAAAGACAAAAAUCUUACUGACAGCUUUUUGACAGAUAAUGUUUAGUAAACAAACAUAUAUGUAUUUAUAGUCCCUUCCCCACAACUGUUCUGCACAAGGAUCGAAAUUACAGAAUGACUGUGCAGCCCCCUGGCUCUCACAUUUUUGAUUACUAUUUUAUGGCGAUUGUAUUUAUGGGUCCUUUUGUGGCACUCCCGGAGGCAUCUUAUCCAUAAAGGAUUGCUUUCUGCUGUGGUAGAUGUAGAAUGUGGCAGAGCUGCCAUAAUGCAUUUCAGUUGCAUUUUUUUAUUUUUUGCUUCCAAUCGUAUUAUUUCCUGGGAAAUAUUUUAAAUCCCCUCAGCUGGACUGAUUGCAGCUGUGGUUGGGUGGACAAGCGAGCUGCCUGCUGGAGCUGGUGUCUAUGGCUGAAGCCCUGAAGAUCCCGGCAUUGCCAGGGGCAACGCUGCCCAUAAAUCAGGAUUACCCUGGAGGUGUCUGCCCCUAAAUCAGGCACAGCUUGUACUAAGAGGCAGUGAGAAACUCAGACCCCAUUUCUUACAAAUGGAAAAUGUUUUUUUCCCUGCUGGUUGCCUGAGGUGGUAUUCAUCCAGCUAAAUGAAGACAUAUAACUCUCCUUAAGGUCAGUGGAGAGGAACAGGCAAUUCCAGGAAAGUGAUUCAUCUCAUCUGAAAGAAUAUUUCUAGGAGAUAGGUCAGGUAGAUAAAGGCUUACAGACACCUAUUUCUGCCAGCUGCUGCUGCAGGAGCCUUCAGUGACCUGCUGAAGGGUAGACCAGUCAGACAAGAAGAAUCUUACCAGUUUUGCCUAGUAUAGGUGCCGCUACAGCACGGUUUUUUAAACAGUAUACAGACAUUUCCUACAUAAGCACUCCACAAUUAACAGUCUUUGAGUCAGCUUUUUACAUAUUUCCCUAAAGCUAAA
rnacentral:lncRNA from 1 species